rnacentral:rRNA from 4 species
CAGCGAUUAGGUCGGGAACUCAAAGGAGACUGCCAGUGAUAAACUGGAGGAAGGUGGGGAUGACGUCAAGUCAUCAUGGCCCUUACGACCAGGGCUACACACGUGCUACAAUGGCGCAUACAAAGAGAAGCGACCUCGCGAGAGCAAGCGGACCUCAUAAAGUGCGUCGUAGUCCGGAUUGGAGUCUGCAACUCGACUCCAUGAAGUCGGAAUCGCUAGUAAUCGUGGAUCAGAAUGCCACGGUGAAUACGUUCCCGGGCCUUGUACACACCGCCCGUCACACCAUGGGAGUGGGUUGCAAAAGAAGUAGGUAGCUUAACCUUCGGGAGGGCGCUUACCACUUUGUGAUUCAUGACUGGGGUGAAGUCGUAACAAGGUAACCGUAGGGGAACCUGCGGUUGGAUCACCUCCUUACCUUAAAGAAGC